UGAGCUGCUACUAGGUUUCUUAGUUAUUGAUGUAGCCCAUGUGUGCUUCUUUACAUUUGUAUGGCACGGCUGAAUGGAGAACUAAAUGCUUCUUUCUUAAUUUGCUAGGUGUGUUGGGCCGUGUAUUUCCUUCUGCAGACCUUAUCCAAUUCACGUGUUGCUUCCUUCUCAAUACCGUGACAGCACCAUUGGUUGCAAUGUUUUUUUAUUCUCAAAGCAAAGCAAGUCGUGAU
rnacentral:lncRNA from 1 species